rnacentral:rRNA from 1 species
UUUGCAUAUCCAAAUAGCGGAGGAAAAGAAACUAACAAGGAUUCCCCUAGUAGCGGCGAGCGAAGCGGGAAGAGCUCAAAUUUGAAAUCUGGCACUUUCAGUGUCCGAGUUGUAAUCUCGAGAAGUGUUUUCUGUGCUAGACUGCAUACAAGUCUGUUGGAACACAGCGUCACAGUGGUGAGAACCCAGUACAUGAUGCAGAUGCCUAGUGCUUUGUGAUACACUUUCGAAGAGUCGAGUUGUUUGGGAAUGCAGCUCAAAAUGGGUGGUAAAUUCCAUCUAAAGCUAAAUAUUGGCGAGAGACCGAUAGCGAACAAGUACCGUGAGGGAAAGAUGAAAAGCACCUUGGAAAGGGAGUUAAACAGUACGUGAAAUUGUUGGAAGGGAAACGCUUGAAGUCAGACUUGCUAUCUGGAGUUCAGCCGAAAGGUGUACUCUCCAGUUUGCAGGCCAGCAUCAGUUUUCGGGGAUGGAAAAGGGUCAGAGGAACGUAGCAGCUCUCGGGCUGUGUUAUAGCCUCUGACUGGAUUCAUCCCGGGGGACUGAGGAACGCAGCGUGCUUUUAGCGAGGCUCUCGAGCCUUUCACGCUUAGGAUGCUGGUGGAAUGGCUUUAAACGACCCGUCUUGAACCACGGACCAAA